rnacentral:rRNA from 1 species
CCUACGGGGGGCUGCAGUGGGGAAUAUUGCACAAUGGGCGCAAGCCUGAUCCAGCCAUGCCGCGUGUAUGAUGAAGGCCCUCGGGUUGUAAAGCACUUUCAUCGAGGAGGAAAAGAGUAUAGUUAAUACCUUUUCUUAUUGACGGUACCCGCAGAAGAAGCACCGGCUAACUCCGUGCCAGCAGCCGCGGUAAUACGUAGGGUGCAAGCGUUAAUCGGAAUUACUGGGCGUAAAGCGCACGCAGGCGGUUGGUUAAGUCAGAUGUGAAAUCCCCGGGCGCAACCUGGGAACCGCAUCUGUUACUGGCAAGCUUGAGUGUGGUAGAGGGGGGUAGAAUUCCAGGUGUAGCGGUGAAAUGCGUAGAGAUGUGGAGGAAUACCGAUGGCGAAGGCAGCCUCCUGGACGAAGACUGACGCUCAGGUGCGAAAGCGUGGGGAGCAAACAGGAUUAGAUACCCCUGUAGUC